rnacentral:rRNA from 1 species
AACGAACGCUGGCGGCACGCCUAACACAUGCAAGUCGAGCGCAAUCCUUCGGGAUCGAGCGGCGGACGGGUUAGUAACGCGUGGGAACAUACCCUUCUCUAAGGAAUAGCCUCGGGAAACUGAGAGUAAUACCUUAUACGCCCUUCGGGGAAAGAUUUAUCGGAGAAGGAUUGGCCCGCGUAAGAUUAGAUAGUUGGUGGGGUAAUGGCCUACCAAGU